CAAGCAGCAGACCAGACUGCGUGAAGCUGCGUGGACUUUCUGUGCGUUUCCAACAUUAUGUGUGCGUUCUUGAGGAAAUACCACACAUGUAUACACACAUAUAUAUACACACAAACUAAAUACACACUACAUGUUGCUGUUCAACAAUCUUCAUUAAAAGAAGACAAAGAAAAUCUCUCUGUCCGAGUGCCUUGAUUCUCUAAUCGGAAUCAUAGUCCAUUAUCCACCGCCUCAACCAGCAAUCCUUCCUCUUGAGGCUCAGCCCUCAAACAUUGGUCCUUCGAGCCGGAUUGAGUGCAACCUAAGAAGAGGAUCAUGGACGAUGCAGCAUCAGGCACCUCAGAGCCCUGGAGACGUCCACAGAGAGAGCAUCGCUUGCCUGCUUACCUGGAGGACUACCACGUUGGAUUCCAGCCAUCUGCACACCUAGAUUCACCUGCUACUGUUUCCCGCUCUAGCAGCCACCACAGCAGCAACCCGAGCAGGUCAUCCAACUGGAGCUCAUACACCCAUAGCAGAUCCAGUAGGCGUACAUGCUACUCCUUUGGUACGUAUCCCACUCAGGGUCUCUCAACUGCACAAGCUGCAAUCUUGGAAGAGAGAAUAAAGCAGUUGGAGCUGGAAGAUAUCCGCCAUAUGAUGCAGCAUGAGACUCAAGCUGACUUGGAGUGUAAACUGCUGGAUGAUCAGGCCAAAGAAGCACAGCAGCUUCAAGAUGAGGCACUCAAAGCCAGAGAAGCGCUCAAUAGGCGGCUAGAGAGAGAGCAGCGCCUAACGAGGGCCGAACAGGAGCUUGAGAUCGCCAAGCUUCGUUCUUCGAUGCUUACCAAUGCUUUGCCACCUGCACCUUCAUCUGUACACUCCGACAAGUCCGACCCUUACCUGGACUUACCACCGACAGUGCAGGCAAGGCAGGCAGACACGCUUCCAUCUGCUUCCCAGCUCUCACAGUCAACUUGGUCACUUCCAACACCUGCUGCUGUUGCUCACCCCCUUAUUUCUCCCCCACAAGUGAGGCAACAAAUUAUUCCAGUCCCUACAGUGCCUCCUACUGGACUACAGCCAACGCUGCAACCUGCUGCCGUCCCAGCGAUACCUGCUCCCCUGGCAAACCCAACAGCACAGCUCCAGGGUCCAGCACCCAUGGCACUUAGGUCCGGGAGACUACAACCUGGCCCAGCAUUAGCACUCGCUCCUACAAUACAACCUGUGUUACACCCUUCAGCGCAUGUCAUCACCUCGACACCUCUGGCUCAUACUACAGCUCAGGUGGCAUCAUUUUUUGAGUCACAACGUCCUUGUGGCCCAGCACCGGCAACAAGUUCAUACUAUAACCAACCCGUGUACCAACCCGCUUACAGCCAACCAGCCAUGGAGCCACUCAACACUGCUCAGCAUGCCAGCCAAGCUCCACCACUCUUCUCGACUCACCACGGGCAACAGACUGCUCCAGUUCCCUCUGCUCCCUACCCUGGUUACACACCACUACCCGGAGCCGAGGUACUUCUUGCAUCAGCCCUUGGGAUCCCUCGACCUUCCCUGCCAGUGUUCGAGAGUGGUCGAGAGAGUGACUUUGCUCUGCUCAAGCUUGCACUAGACAACGUACUGGGAAGCAACCUUCACCUUAGUGAACAAUAUAAAUAUCAAGUGUUGAUAGGACAUAUCAAGCUGUCAAGUGCACUACAGCUUGCCAAGGUGUACAUGCAUGACCCUGCACCAUAUACGAGUGCAUUGCAGGCUCUACAAGAUAAGUACGGGCAGCCACGACAGCUGGUCCAGAGUGAGCUUGGUGCCAUACUCAACGCGCCUGCUCUUCACUGCAGCUGAGGAGGUAACCAGGGACGAGACAUUCGGGGCAGGGCUUACGCAGGCAAAGGUCAGACCCAAGCCCAAACCUUACUGUCCAUAUUGUGACAGUCACGACCACUAUCUCAAUUCCUGUGAGGAAUUCAAGAAGUUGAACACCGACCAAGUCUUGAAGUGGCUCAAGGACGGCAAACGGUGUCGGAAAUGUGGACGCAAUCACACCGAGGACCGGUGCACGCUUAAGCGCCCCUGUAAAACCUGCAAGGAAACGCACCUCAGGAAAAUGGUCAACAUACUGGCAGCUGACUUGACCGAGAAGAAUGGAACAUCACCUCCCAGACAGUUGAAAGAAAAGUACGCCAGAGGAAUUGUGACGUUAUUCCCCUACCUCAGUGACCCAUACGCUAAGAAUGGCUAUGAGCAUUACUAUGAUGGGGAGAGUGGCACUGGGUACUUGGCUUGGAGGAUUAAAACCAUUCAAAGAUCUACUGCUAAAGACAGACGAUCCUCAUUUGGAGAAUCAGCAGAAGGAUCAUCAGGUAAAGACAUGUCUGGAGGACCAACGGUCAGAAGACAGACCCAAUUUGUUACUGAGGCAUCCGUAAGUGAAGAUGAGUGCCAGGAAGCAAUGUCACUGAUGAGACAUUCAGCUGACGAGGACUUAGUCAAGAAGAAGAUGAAGCUGACAUCGCCGCAACAUGCUCCUCGAUCCCCAGCAGUCAAGUAACAUACUAUCUGACUUUCCACGUUUCAAAGACGUCAAAGGCUUGGUUGAACAGGAUUUUGUUCUGAUGUUCGGUGAGGGUGUGUCCGACAAGUUUCUGGAGCAAUGGCCAGGCACAUUCAAGAAAAAGAUCAUCCAACAAUGCAGAAAGCUUCCCAACAUCAGUGAGCUUGAAGAACUCCUGCUGGCAGCUGAUCCUCCUCUGGAUGGCAUUGACGUGGACAAUGACUUAGGUUGGGAGAGUGACCUCUCAUCGGUUUUACCGCUGUCACACCUGAUUCCACCGUCUGCCCAGGGACGGAAGAGACCAGGGAAAGUGUCCUCGUCCCAAGUAGAGAAACAUCUUGUCAAGAAUAUUGCAUCCAUUGUAACGUCCAUUGAUACACGCAAGACUCGGUUCUUUUCACAGAUGUUUAAUGUCGCACUUGUCGUCUUCAAACAGCUGCAUUCUUGCAUUCUUCAGCUUGCCAACACGUUUCACCAUGACAUCAUCACACCCAAACACCAUAGGACUAAAAUACAGACAUACAAUUAGCUCAAGCUAACUUCUGGAAGCUUCCAGGGAAUAAUCAAAGGGUCAAUCAAAGAAACAAAGCAACAGGUACAUUUACAAAAUACUACUAGAGUCCACCUUGUGGUCAAAGAGUGAAAUUACACAUAUAGUCCACAGGGCAAGAAAACACUGCCUGAAGUUACUACCAUGUUCAUGUGUGCAUAUUUCUUCCCAAUAAUAUAUAAAAAAAUAAUUAAUUAUUACAUAACAACCAAGUUAAUUUUGUUGUCUGUGUAUGUGUAUCUUCUCAGACUGGAACAAGCAUCCAAGAACAUCUCGACACCAUUACUACCAGCGCUCAACCAUAUCUCCUGGCUGUUGGAUUAAGGAAGGAUGCAAUCCACCAAUUCUUCAUCAUUCUGGAUAGGAGUGCCAUACCUUGCAGGUUGGGAGAGUGACCUCUCAUCGGUUUUACCGCUGUCACACCUGAUUCCACCGUCUGCCCAGGGACGGAAGAGACCAGGGAAAGUGUCCUCGUCCCAAGUAGAGAAACAUCUUGUCAAGAAUAUUGCAUCCAUUGUAACGUCCAUUGAUACACGCAAGACUCGGUUCUUUUCACAGAUGUUUAAUGUCGCACUUGUCGUCUUCAAACAGCUGCAUUCUUGCAUUCUUCAGCUUGCCAACACGUUUCACCAUGACAUCAUCACACCCAAACACCAUAGGACUAAAAUACAGACAUACAAUUAGCUCAAGCUAACUUCUGGAAGCUUCCAGGGAAUAAUCAAAGGGUCAAUCAAAGAAACAAAGCAACAGGUACAUUUACAAAAUACUACUAGAGUCCACCUUGUGGUCAAAGAGUGAAAUUACACAUAUAGUCCACAGGGCAAGAAAACACUGCCUGAAGUUACUACCAUGUUCAUGUGUGCAUAUUUCUUCCCAAUAAUAUAUAAAAAAAUAAUUAAUUAUUACAUAACAACCAAGUUAAUUUUGUUGUCUGUGUAUGUGUAUCUUCUCAGACUGGAACAAGCAUCCAAGAACAUCUCGACACCAUUACUACCAGCGCUCAACCAUAUCUCCUGGCUGUUGGAUUAAGGAAGGAUGCAAUCCACCAAUUCUUCAUCAUUCUGGAUAGGAGUGCCAUACCUUGCAGGUUGGGAGAGUGACCUCUCAUCGGUUUUACCGCUGUCACACCUGAUUCCACCGUCUGCCCAGGGACGGAAGAGACCAGGGAAAGUGUCCUCGUCCCAAGUAGAGAAACAUCUUGUCAAGAAUAUUGCAUCCAUUGUAACGUCCAUUGAUACACGCAAGACUCGGUUCUUUUCACAGAUGUUUAAUGUCGCACUUGUCGUCUUCAAACAGCUGCAUUCUUGCAUUCUUCAGCUUGCCAACACGUUUCACCAUGACAUCAUCACACCCAAACACCAUAGGACUAAAAUACAGACAUACAAUUAGCUCAAGCUAACUUCUGGAAGCUUCCAGGGAAUAAUCAAAGGGUCAAUCAAAGAAACAAAGCAACAGGUACAUUUACAAAAUACUACUAGAGUCCACCUUGUGGUCAAAGAGUGAAAUUACACAUAUAGUCCACAGGGCAAGAAAACACUGCCUGAAGUUACUACCAUGUUCAUGUGUGCAUAUUUCUUCCCAAUAAUAUAUAAAAAAAUAAUUAAUUAUUACAUAACAACCAAGUUAAUUUUGUUGUCUGUGUAUGUGUAUCUUCUCAGACUGGAACAAGCAUCCAAGAACAUCUCGACACCAUUACUACCAGCGCUCAACCAUAUCUCCUGGCUGUUGGAUUAAGGAAGGAUGCAAUCCACCAAUUCUUCAUCAUUCUGGAUAGGAGUGCCAUACCUUGCAGGUCAAUUUCUUCUCUAGGGGCUUUCGAUGAGCUGUUUAAGGCACAUUUUGUGUUCGGCACAUCAUACAACUCCAUGCUCCAUAACAUGUACAUGUUCAUCCAGACCACGGUGUACAACAUCGAUGUUGGGAAAGUCAAGGAGAGUCCUCGUGUUGCUGAAGUAAGGGCAAGGUUACUCAAUUAGUGCUUGAGGUUUUUCCUCCAUCAUGAGGUGCUUUGUUUGUCAGGCUGAAUUAAAAAGUUCCAAUAUGCUUGUUAGGCACUUACGUUUAGUUCAUGGUUACUUGCCUGGAAGAAACCUUCGCCUUAAAUGUCUUCAGACUGGAUGUGGAUCUGUGUUCGGUACUUUUUCUGGUUUUAGGAAGCAUUUAAACACCAAGCACACAGAGUAUUUAGACCAGCAGGCUGAAACUGAUGUUACUUUAAACGGUGCAGGAGAGGUUGUGGCAAGUAAUGUAGAUGAGACGCCAACAUCAUCUGAACCUUCUAGAAAUUCCGAGAAGAGCACUCUUGAUAAGUGUGCUUCUGCUGUUGCACAACUCAAGGCAGCUGGAUUAAGUCAGUCUACUGUAAACAGUUUUGUCUCAUCAAUGGAAGAAGUGUUUUUUGAGAUUCAUAGUCAGGCUAAAGAUGCAGCUUUACAGUGCUUAUCUCCUCAGGACACUGAAAAUAAGAAUAAAAUAGAGGAAUCCUUCAAACAGUUGGAAAAUGGAAAUCCCUUCAAAUGCUUGAAUACAGAAACCAAACGAAACAAACACUUCAAAGAGAAAUGGGGAAACGCUGAACCUGUUGAAAAGGUGCUCGGCACAAGAUUUGACAGCAGAAGAAACAAAUCUACUCGGACAUAUGACCAGGUCAUUAUAACAGAUAAGUUUUCAUAUGUUCCCAUCCUAGAAACGCUUAAGAACAUUUUUGAUAACCUAGAACUGACCAACAUGUUCAAGCCCAGGCACAUUCCCAAAGAAGGUGUUUAUAAAGACAUAAAAGAUGCCAACUAUUUUAAAGAAAAUCUCUUAUUUUCUAAAGAGAACGAUGCAUUGCAGAUUCAACUGUUUUAUGACGACUUUGAGACAGCAAAUCCCUUGGGCUCUAAAAAGGGUAUCCAUAAAUUAGGGGCUAUAUAUUUUACUCUGAGAAAUUUUCCCCCAAUCUUUAAUUCGGCUUUGAUUAAUAUUCAUUUAUGUGCUCUUUUCCACGCACAGGACAUCAAACGUUAUGGUUUUAAUCUGAUACUUGAACCACUGGUGAAUGAUAUAAAAGUACUUGAGACGGAGGGACUUCACAUUUCCAUGUCUGAAAGUGUUAUUCAUGGUACCAUUGUCCAGGUCACUGGGAAUAAUUUGGGUUUGCAUGGUCUGUUUGGCUGCGUGGAAUCAUUUAGUGCUCGCUAUUGCUGUCGUUUCUGUCUCCUUGAGAAAACUUGUUUUCAAACUGUUCUGUGAAGAUAAUCCUGAAGUUGUAUUAAGAACUAUUGAGAUGCACACCCAGCACUGUCAAACUUUACAAACUAGAGACCAGGGAAAGUGUCCUCGUCCCAAGUAGAGAAACAUCUUGUCAAGAAUAUUGCAUCCAUUGUAACGUCCAUUGAUACACGCAAGACUCGGUUCUUUUCACAGAUGUUUAAUGUCGCACUUGUCGUCUUCAAACAGCUGCAUUCUUGCAUUCUUCAGCUUGCCAACACGUUUCACCAUGACAUCAUCACACCCAAACACCAUAGGACUAAAAUACAGACAUACAAUUAGCUCAAGCUAACUUCUGGAAGCUUCCAGGGAAUAAUCAAAGGGUCAAUCAAAGAAACAAAGCAACAGGUACAUUUACAAAAUACUACUAGAGUCCACCUUGUGGUCAAAGAGUGAAAUUACACAUAUAGUCCACAGGGCAAGAAAACACUGCCUGAAGUUACUACCAUGUUCAUGUGUGCAUAUUUCUUCCCAAUAAUAUAUAAAAAAAUAAUUAAUUAUUACAUAACAACCAAGUUAAUUUUGUUGUCUGUGUAUGUGUAUCUUCUCAGACUGGAACAAGCAUCCAAGAACAUCUCGACACCAUUACUACCAGCGCUCAACCAUAUCUCCUGGCUGUUGGAUUAAGGAAGGAUGCAAUCCACCAAUUCUUCAUCAUUCUGGAUAGGAGUGCCAUACCUUGCAGGUCAAUUUCUUCUCUAGGGGCUUUCGAUGAGCUGUUUAAGGCACAUUUUGUGUUCGGCACAUCAUACAACUCCAUGCUCCAUAACAUGUACAUGUUCAUCCAGACCACAGUGUACAACAUCGAUGUUGGGAAAGUCAAGGAGAGUCCUCGUGUUGCUGAAGUAAGGGCAAGGUUACUCAAUUAGUGCUUGAGGUUUUUCCUCCAUCAUGAGGUGCUUUGUUUGUCAGGCUGAAUUAAAAAGUUCCAAUAUGCUUGUUAGGCACUUACGUUUAGUUCAUGGUUACUUGCCUGGAAGAAACCUUCGCCUUAAAAGUCUUCAGACUGGAUGUGGAUCUGUGUUCGGUACUUUUUCUGGUUUUAGGAAGCAUUUAAACACCAAGCACACAGAGUAUUUAGACCAGCAGGCUGAAACUGAUGUUACUUUAAACGGUGCAGGAGAGGUUGUGGCAAGUAAUGUAGAUGAGACGCCAACAUCAUCUGAACCUUCUAGAAAUUCCGAGAAGAGCACUCUUGAUAAGUGUGCUUCUGCUGUUGCACAACUCAAGGCAGCUGGAUUAAGUCAGUCUACUGUAAACAGUUUUGUCUCAUCAAUGGAAGAAGUGUUUUUUGAGAUUCAUAGUCAGGCUAAAGAUGCAGCUUUACAGUGCUUAUCUCCUCAGGACACUGAAAAUAAGAAUAAAAUAGAGGAAUCCUUCAAACAGUUGGAAAAUGGAAAUCCCUUCAAAUGCUUGAAUACAGAAACCAAACGAAACAAACACUUCAAAGAGAAAUGGGGAAACGCUGAACCUGUUGAAAAGGUGCUCGGCACAAGAUUUGACAGCAGAAGAAACAAAUCUACUCGGACAUAUGACCAGGUCAUUAUAACAGAUAAGUUUUCAUAUGUUCCCAUCCUAGAAACGCUUAAGAACAUUUUUGAUAACCUAGAACUGACCAACAUGUUCAAGCCCAGGCACAUUCCCAAAGAAGGUGUUUAUAAAGACAUAAAAGAUGCCAACUAUUUUAAAGAAAAUCUCUUAUUUUCUAAAGAGAACGAUGCAUUGCAGAUUCAACUGUUUUAUGACGACUUUGAGACAGCAAAUCCCUUGGGCUCUAAAAAGGGUAUCCAUAAAUUAGGGGCUAUAUAUUUUACUCUGAGAAAUUUUCCCCCAAUCUUUAAUUCGGCUUUGAUUAAUAUUCAUUUAUGUGCUCUUUUCCACGCACAGGACAUCAAACGUUAUGGUUUUAAUCUGAUACUUGAACCACUGGUGAAUGAUAUAAAAGUACUUGAGACGGAGGGACUUCACAUUUCCAUGUCUGAAAGUGUUAUUCAUGGUACCAUUGUCCAGGUCACUGGGAAUAAUUUGGGUUUGCAUGGUCUGUUUGGCUGCGUGGAAUCAUUUAGUGCUCGCUAUUGCUGUCGUUUCUGUCUCCUUGAGAAAACUUGUUUUCAAACUGUUCUGUGAAGAUAAUCCUGAAGUUGUAUUAAGAACUAUUGAGAUGCACACCCAGCACUGUCAAACUUUACAAACUAGAGACCAGGGAAAGUGUCCUCGUCCCAAGUAGAGAAACAUCUUGUCAAGAAUAUUGCAUCCAUUGUAACGUCCAUUGAUACACGCAAGACUCGGUUCUUUUCACAGAUGUUUAAUGUCGCACUUGUCGUCUUCAAACAGCUGCAUUCUUGCAUUCUUCAGCUUGCCAACACGUUUCACCAUGACAUCAUCACACCCAAACACCAUAGGACUAAAAUACAGACAUACAAUUAGCUCAAGCUAAUUUCAACAAUGAAAAUUUGUUUUCAUUGAAAAAAAAAAAAAAUUUUCUAGGCGACCGCCUAUAUCGCCUAUGCCAAGAGCCGGCCCUGCUUCCGGUGUUUUCCCAGCCAUCUUGAAUUUCACCUGUAGAGUGUUUUACUCUUCUGACACCACUAGAUGGCAGUCUAAUUGGCCACGUAAGUGGACAUCGGGCCCAUUUUAAAAUGAAUUAAGUUUUAUAGUAUAGACAUCCCAAAAUGACAUGUCCACGCAUUUGGGCGCCAGGUCGUAGGAAUGUGGAUACAAAGCACGGUAAACAUUUUUCCUCCUCCAAUAAGGAAACGCACUAAUUUGAAGCCACUGAAGCCUCCCAGUGUCUGUUAAUUUAAUUUUAUUUAAAAUAAACCUACAGAAUAUAAUCCAGUACCAGAGAAGUGUCCAUUCUAUGAAACUCCAGUAAAACUUACAAGGGGAUGUCAGCAGCCACAGGUAAACGCACAGCUAAUUAUGAUUAAGUGUUGUUCGUGAUCUGAGUUGACGUCACAAAUAAGGUAAUAUAGUUGUCUAAUUAAACCUGGGUUAUGUCUGCAACUUUUAUUUAUUAAUUAUUUAAUUUCAUUAUUGUGUCCACACCAAAUGAUUGAAAUAUCCUCAUACUUUAUAUGAGGCUACUUCCUUAUGUUGUCCUCCCACUCUGUAAAGCCAUUUUUCCAGCGAGUCGAACGGUAUGGUACAUAUUUUUUUGUGUUUCCUUUUGGAAUACUACUGAAAUCACCGGUCAACUGCUCCAUUUUUGACCAACAGGUAAAAAAUUCAACACUGUUAGAUUGUAUUCAAGUAAAUUUCCCCAAAUGCAAAGUUGUUCAUUUAACUAGUUUUACUGUUAAAUAAAAGUAGUAUGUGGUUUAUGUUUAUUAGUGGCAUUUUAAGAUUUUGAGAGCUGUAAAGAGUAGACUAGUGACCUAAAGCUAACUCACUGGCAGUGUGUUUCUCUACCAGUAAUCACGUCCAAUAUCCCUUUUGGAUUUUAUUAGUAUUUAUCAAACUUUCCAUACAACUCCGGAAGCUGGAGCCAGAAAAAAGCUAAAAAUACAGCAACAGUGAGAACAAGCACUUCCCCCAUGGACUGAGAUAAAUCCGCAGAAACAAGGACAUUCAUGGCAAUGAAAGCCACAGUAUGUUCUUGUACAUCAAUGUUUUUCUGGUUUACUUAUUAAGCCACCUCCUUCUCAGCCUGACCCCUCUCAUUUUGCUCUAACCCUGACUUCCUGUUUUAUUUUUGGGGAAUGCUCAGUUGGAGCGUGAGAAUGCUCUCAGUGGUGGCUGUGUUGACCCAGUGGUAUUUAAAGCAACAUACACACAUUAACCAACUAUUUUAGUUGCAAGCUUUUCCCUGAGGCAAGGAUAUAAAGCCUGGCAUUUAUUCCCGAUAAUGAGAAAUUUGUGAACACAAUUUGAUAUAUUAAAGUAACUUUACAAUUAAAGUAACUUUACAAUAAGGGUAAAAUGACUUCAAAUUGUAAACUUAUAGAAUAGUUGUAGUAUAACUAAUUUCUCCUUUUUCCCAAGACCUGAUUGAAUGAUGUUGAUUAUUAGCGGUUUUAUUUUAUUUUGAAGAAAACAUUAUGU